rnacentral:lncRNA from 1 species
GAUGGUGGUGGCAGAUAGACAUACUUGAUUUCUUCCGCAGUCUUCUGUUCUUCAACUAUACUCUGUCCAAUCUCUUGACGGUGAAUGUUCCGCUUACCUUUUCUUCUAGCUGUAUUCUGCGACGGAGUCGGUUUCGGUACCGAUGAUGAUGUCGACGGCUUUCGUUUAUAGAAAUCCUCCAUGUCCGUUUCUUUCCAUUCGUCAACGCCACUUUUAGAGUGUGCAAUGGAGCGAUACGUUCUCUGCACUUUCUUCUUUCCAAUUUUGGCCGGAAAAUCCAUCGGAGCUGCAACAGGUGGAGGAGGCAAAU